UCAAUGAAGCUUCUUGUUCCC
rnacentral:misc_RNA from 1 species